GACCACCGAGAAUGCGUUGGAGAUCAUGGCAGCUGCCGAUAUGUUGCUGCUGAACGACUGCAUCGAUAGAUGUAUGCAAAUCGUCAAGCUGAAUCGUCAAGCUGAAUCGUCAAGCUUGAAAACAGCCUAAGCUUGGUCCCUGUCAGCAAGCAGCUCGGCUGGCCAGGUUUCAGAGAAUUCAUCACGGGAUUCGUCCUCGAGCAUUUCGACAAGUGAGCUGGACGCAUUCUGCAAAGUGUGUCCAGCACUGGGCCAGAGCCUCGCUUAUCGUGAGGCUGUUUCGGAAGCAUUCGCCCGUGGUGUGCGCGCCAAUUCCGUUCCUGGCAAAUUAUGCAAUACCAGAACCUGCAACACCAGCGGAUGAAGCUGCAGUGACCGGAGUUGCGGCCCUACUUGCCACUGACCUAGCAGCUGCUUCUGGAAAUGAUGCCGACACGAAUGCAGAGUAGACAUGGAGCAAGAAGAUGGCGACGCAGGUUUGACUGAUCUUCCCGUCUUGCAAGUCAACUGCCAAGUAUGGAGAAAGAUUGACCCAGAGUGCUGGCUUCCUCGCCUGCCAAGCAACAUGAUGUUCCUAGUAGGGGGCUGGAGCAGUGGCCAGACUAUGUCUGCAAUAGAAGCAUUUGACCCCCGUGCCAACCGGUGGGUGCACCACCAGAACGAGUCAAUCUUCGA